GGGGAAUAUUGCACAAUGGGCGCAAGCCUGAUGCAGCAACGCCGCGUGAAGGAAGACGGUUUUCGGAUUGUAAACUUCUGUUCUUAGUGAAGAAUAAUGACGGUAGCUAAGGAGCAAGCCACGGCUAACUACGUGCCAGCAGCCGCGGUAAUACGUAGGUGGCAAGCGUUGUCCGGAAUUACUGGGUGUAAAGGGAGCGCAGGCGGGUGAUCAAGUCAGCUGUGAAAACUACGGGCUUAACCCGUAGACUGCAGUUGAAACUGUUCAUCUUGAGUGAAGUAGAGGUUGGCGGAAUUCCGAGUGUAGCGGUGAAAUGCGUAGAUAUUCGGAGGAACACCGGUGGCGAAGGCGGCCAACUGGGCUUUAACUGACGCUGAGGCUCGAAAGUGUGGGGAGCAAACAGGAUUAGAUACCCUGGUAGUCCACACUGUAAACGAUGAUUGCUAGGUGUGGGGGGUCUGACCCCUUCCGUGCCGGAGCUAACGCAAUAAGCAAUCCACCUGGGGAGUACGACCGCAAGGUUGAAACUCAAAGGAAAUUGACGGGGACCCGCACAAGCAGUGGAUUAUGUGGUUUAAUUCGAAGCAACGCGAAGAACCUUACCAGCACUUGACAUCCAACUAACGAAAUAGAGAUAUAUUAGGUGCCCUUCGGGGAAAGUUGAGACAGGUGGUGCAUGGUUGUCGUCAGCUCGUGUCGUGAGAUGUUGGGUUAAGUCCCGCAACGAGCGCAACCCUCGCCAUUAGUUGCUACGCAAGAGCACUCUAAUGGGACCGCUACCGACAAGGUGGAGGAAGGUGGGGACGACGUCAAAUCAUCAUGCCCCUUAUGUGCUGGGCUACACACGUAAUACAAUGGCCAUCAACAGAGAGAAGCAAUACCGCGAGGUGGAGCAAAACUUCAAAAAUGGUCUCAGUUCGGACUGCAGGCUGCAACCCGCCUGCACGAAGUUGGAAUUGCUAGUAAUCGUGGAUCAGCAUGCCACGGUGAAUACGUUCCCG
rnacentral:rRNA from 1 species